GAUGAACGCUGGCGGCGUGCCUAAUACAUGCAAGUCGAGCGAAGCGGGGACGGGUGAGUAACACGAGGAUAACCUCCUAUAAGACGGGGAUAAAGUCGGGAAAACGGAGAUAAACCGGAAACUUAUAGAUGGAGCCGCGCUGAAUUAGCUAGUUGGUAAGGUAACGGCUUACCAAGGCAACGAUGCAUAGACGACCUUAGAGGGUGAUCAGCCACACUGGAACUGAGACACGGUCCAGACUCCUACGGGAGGCAGCAGUAGGGAAUCUUCCGCAAUGGGCGCAAGCCUGACGCAGCCACGCCGCGUGUGUGAUGAAGGUCUUCGGAUCGUAAAGCUCUGUUAUUCGGGAAGCGUUACCUAAUCAGAAAGCCCCGGCUAACUCCGUGCCAGCAGCCGCGGUAAUUC
rnacentral:rRNA from 1 species